UACGUAGGGGGCAAGCGUUGUCCGGAUUUACUGGGCGUAAAGAGCGUGUAGGCGGCCAAGCAGGUCCGUUGUGAAAACUGGAGGCUUAACCUCCAGACGUCGACGGAAACCGCGUGGCUAGAGUCCGGAAGAGGAGAGUGGAAUUCCUGGUGUAGCGGUGAAAUGCGCAGAUAUCAGGAGGAACACCGGUGGCGAAGGCGGGAUCCUGGGCCAGUACUGACGCUGAGACGCGAAAGCGUGGGGAGCGAACAGG
rnacentral:rRNA from 1 species